AAUUAAUUAAAUAAAAGUGUUACACGCACCACAAUGCUAUCUAUUUUUGGUCUUAUAUUGGACACUUUUCAAUUCAAUAUCUUACUGCAAUUUCCACAACCAGUAACCUGGUUAUAGAACUGUGUGAGUGUGACUGAACAUGUGUAGGGCCCUUGCAGGUGACGUGCCAUAACUCGAUAUAGCGGCACUUACCAUGCGGGACUCCUGUCGCCACUAUCUCAAGAACCUGAUUACAGUAUUUACGACGGUUCGCUGCGCAGAACCCCCGCCACUCAAGUUAUUGCUGGCGUAGUGUGACUGUUGUGCGGUCCGCGGAACGCCUGGAGGACUUCACACUUCGAGCGCGUCUCUAAUUGUCAACUUGCAGCAUUGACCGUGUAGUUAUUAAAGUUGUGCAAUGCAGCGUUGCACAGCCUCUUGGAGACAUUAUGCCCGUGUCAUCUUCUUAUUGUGACGUCAUGCGACGCCCUCCCCGAGCCACCAACACCACCCGGGCUUUUCAUUGUGCCGUCCCACUUUUUAAUCUGAAGACGUCGUAUAAAGUACAAUACUUCGUAAAUACAGCUGAUAUUUUGUUUCAUUUUUAACGCAAAUACUUUAUAUAUAAGGUAAAUUGAUGUGUAAAUAAAAUUUUUGAAAAAAAUAUCUUUAUUUAUUGUGUAAUCUGUAUAGUUUUUUGUAUUACAAUUAUAAUAAUAUUUGAUUCAUUGUAAAUGUAAUUUACGAUGA